UAUGGGGCAGUGUCAGAUGCUAAUUAUUUAACAACAGUAGAUGAUGAGAUGCAAAAACAUAAAGCUUUAUAAUUGCGAGCACACACAUUGUCAACCUCACACGUCAAAAUAUCCAAACAUCCCGAUGGAGCACUGCUGAGACAGAAGAAAGAAUGACGACUGCUAUGGCACAAACACCAAUUCCUGUGGCACACGGACACUCUUGGCCUCACCCUGCUUAACAUCCUGUAGGAUUUCCUCAGGGAUGGCAAGACCAUCAUUACUUUUGGAGCUCCAGCAACGUGCAGAAUAUAGAGUGGACAAGAUCUCUGCCAAAGAGAUCUUGCCAGCCAAAUUUAUCAUCAGACAAGUGAUUGUGGGAGUGCAUCAAAAAGCAACAUUUUUAGUAAUAUUUUGAGGGGAGACAGUCCAUUGGUUAGAAGGGCAGCGGAGGCAUGAAGAUCCUUAAGGUCAGUUCUUGGCUUUGAUAUUGACUCAUUUGGGUGGCUUGGA